GCCUGGGUGGCUCAGUGGGUUAAAGCCUCUGCCUUAGGCUCAGGUCAUGAUCCCCGGGUCGUGGGAUCGAGCCCCACAUCGGGCU
rnacentral:tRNA from 1 species